rnacentral:rRNA from 1 species
UGGGGAAUCUUGCGCAAUGGGCGAAAGCCUGACGCAGCGACGCCGCGUGGGGGAUGAAGCUUCUCGGAGUGUAAACCCCUUUCGACCCGGACGCGGUACGGGUAUAAGAAGCCCCGGCUAACUACGUGCCAGCAGCCCGGUAAAACCGGUUACUCCUACGG